UACAAUAUUACUCAAAUAAUUUAUGAUACAAAAUAUAUUAUAAUUCCUGAAAUUUAAAUAUUCAAAUAUUUACAUAAUCUCAAAGAUUUAUUUUGUAAACAGGAUGAAAUUUAAACUUUACUCAGUUAUUUAAUUACAAUUACUUAAUUUAUACAAUAUAACUGAAAUUUUAAUAUUUUUAGUUAAAACACAAAUUUAAAUAUUUACAAAAUCGCAAAUUUCAGGAAUUAUAAUAUAUUAUGUAUCAUAAAUUAUUUGAGUAAUAUUGUAUAAAUGAAGUAAUUGUAAUUAGGUAAUAUUGUACGCAGAAAUGAAGUAAAGUUUACUAAAAGAAAGGAUUGAUUCAGUAAAAAUAAAUGAAGUAAAGUUUACUAAAAGAAAGGAUUGAUUCAGUAAAAAUAAAUGAAGUAAAGUUUACUAAAAGAAAGGAUUGAUUCAGUAAAAAUAAAUGAAGUAAAGUUUACUAAAAGAAAGGAUUGAUUCAGUAAAAAUAAAUGAAGUAAAGUUUACUAAAAGAAAGGAUUGAUUCAGUAAAAAUAAAUGAAGUAAAGUUUACUAUAAGAAAGGAUUGAUUCAGUAAAAAUAAAUGAAGUAAAGUUUACUAAAAGAAAGGAUUGACUGAAGUUCAGUUCACUUAUUUACUCUGUGUAACAUUUAAGUCUUGAAACCGAGUUGAAGUUACUUAAAUUUAUCUGAAAUUAAAUUUACUUUAAAAAGGAAACGCAGAAAGUUGCGAAACUUUUUUAAAGUAAAUUUUACGCACAAUUUGUUUCAGUGCAGGAACACUUUGAAGGAUUGCGGGAUCACAUCUGUCUUCAUGAACCUGUGCUCCUUGUAGCUUAGCGUCAGCGAGUUCGCCCGUGCGAUCGUCUGUUCAUUCGUCUGUCUGUUCGUACGUAAGUACGUCUUUCCGUCCAUUUCGCAGCUUCGGCUGUAUAAACCUCUCAGCUAGACGUGGUAGUCGUCGUUCUGUGUAUAUAUAUAUAAAUAUAGUUUACAGAAAGAAAGGAAUCUAUAUGUAUUAUCUACAAAGUAUUUAUUUAAUGGAUAUAAAUAUAUAUAUCUACAAAAAUCUAUAUGUCAAAGCAUAGAUCUAUACAGAGGAGAAUAAUAUUAUAUAUUUACGUAGGAUUUUCUUCGUAGUGGCUUCAGUCAUUUCCCAGUUUCCCGAAGUAGUGGUUGAUUUGCACACUUUUUAGUAUUAGAUCUAUAUUGUACUACCCUAGGCUAUUUGUGUACAUCCUGAAGUAUAGACGAAAAAUAAUAUAUAACAUAAAAAAAAGAAUAAAAAGAUGUGUUGUUUGAUCAAUUUGAUUAAUUGUUCUAUCGGACAUUUUUCUUUCGCCGUUUCUAAAAAGCGUAUUUAUUUGCAUCUAUAGAUAAAAAAAAGAAAAACAUAAUAUAUACAGUUAAUAUAUAUAUAUUGUCAAAAAAAAUGUUAAAAAUGCUACGAACAAAAAUAAUAAGUGCAUAAUAAACACUUAAGACGUAUAACGAAAAAGGGAACAUUAACUCUGUGCCUCAAAGCUCUGAAGAUUAAUGCUGUGUUUUGUUCGAAUUUCCAAUCCAAGAUGGCCGCUUACUGCAUCAACAGUAGUCAAAAAAGUUGUAUUAUACAGUUUUUUGGCACUAAAAUUAAUGUGAUUUAUGUGUUAUUAUUAUUAAAUUGGUUGUUAAAUUGGGGUUACCGUCCAACUUUUAUACUUCGCCAAGAAUCGUAUGAACCUUUGAAAAGUCAUGUUUUCUUUUGUUGGAUUCGGCAGAAAAUGCAGUUAAAUGUUAAAUAAUUGUCAAAUCAGUGAUCGUAAAUUCAUCAAAAGUCUUUACCGAACUAUUUUACGAAAUAGUUUGGAUGAAAACUUACUUUAAAAUAGUGUAAUUCCAGGUUCACUCUACACGACUGGUUGUGCUGUAAUCAAGAGUCCUUCAGUCGUUGUGCUGUUCACACUACACGACUGAUCAGCGACACGGGGUCAUGAAUUACACGAUUUCUCACAGACUCACCUCACAGCUCUCCAGAAACACGUUUAUUACGAGAACUCACCUGAACCAAACACACGAGAACUAGUGAUGCCAUGCAGAUAAUCUCUAUAGAGGAGAAUACGCACUUAAAGUGAGUCCAACAUGAACGAGUUCAUAUGAAGCCAAAACUAAACCAACUAAACCAGUUUAUAAAUGAUCAGUCUGAUCAGUUUUAUACUGAAAUAUGUACUCAUGUCCUCAAAACACAGAAAUAUAUCAAAUGUUUCUUUUUGAACAGUUAUAAACCUUUUGAACAUGUUUUACCUGUAUCUCCAGGAUCAGCUCACCAAUCAACCAAUCAGCUCACAGUAGCAGUAAUGCUAGUAAACUAGUGCUUUACAGUGUAAAACCUUUUCUGUUUUCUUUAGAUAAACUUAAAAAUGUACAGACACACUUUCUUAGUUUUUGUUUUAGUAAAACACAUUGUUCUACUUUCUAAAAUUAAAGAAAUAUUCAGAGCAAGUAGUUCAUAAUUAUUUUUAAUUUAAAGUUUAAAGCUUUUAUCUCUAUUCAAACCUAUGGAGUUAUUUACUGAUAUAACAGGGAGAAUGGUAGGGUGAUCAGACUCUCCAUAAACAGCUCUGUGUUUUGGACCUGUGGUUCUCUCUUUCUCUUUCUGUGAUCUCAUUGGCUGUAUGUAGCUCCUAGUCGCCGACUGAGUCAGAUAUUAAACAUGUUGAAUAUGUUGUGUGCGACUGAAAAACUGGCUCAAAAUCUUGUAGUGUGACUCAGGCAUCACCGAUAUCGUCUGACAUCCGACUUCCAGCGUCCAAAGUAAACAUCAGUAAAACUCAGCAUUAAACAGCGCCCCCUAUUUUCGUGACGUAAAGUAAUAACGAAGUGUAUUUAAUAACAAAACGUAUUUAAUAGUGAAGCGUAUUUUGCGACGCUGCGAUCAGAGCCAGCGGGGAGCAAAGGAAGGUUCUAGUUUCUAGUGUUUCCGAAUGUAGUUUCUUAAACUUAGUUUCUCUUUUUUUUUGUUUAAUCUGUUCGAUUUUAUUAGUCGUAAAAUAAAAAUCGACAAAAAUCGAGAAAAAGCGAAGAAAAAUCGAGAAAAAGUGAGACCACCUCAAAAACCUUUGCGACCCGCGAAUGACACAGUUUUAACAAACGACUGGAAUGAAUGAAAAUGCACCAAAAAAAAAAAAAACGAAA